rnacentral:rRNA from 1 species
CCUUGAAAUACCACCCUUUAAUGUUUGAUGUUCUAACGUGGGCCCCUUACCGGGGUUGCGGACAGUGUCUGGUGGGUAGUUUGACUGGGGCGGUCUCCUCCUAAAGAGUAACGGAGGAGCACGAAGGUUGGCUAAUCCUGGUCGGACAUCAGGAGGUUAGUGCAAUGGCAUAAGCCAGCUUGACUGCGAGCGUGACGGCGCGAGCAGGUGCGAAAGCAGGUCAUAGUGAUCCGGUGGUUCUGAAUGGAAGGGCCAUCGCUCAACGGAUAAAAGGUACUCCGGGGAUAACAGGCUGAUACCGCCCAAGAGUUCAUAUCGACGGCGGUGUUUGGCACCUCGAUGUCGGCUCAUCACAUCCUGGGGCUGAAGUAGGUCCCAAGGGUAUGGCUGUUCGCCAUUUAAAGUGGUACGCGAGCUGGGUUUAGAACGUCGUGAGACAGUUCGGUCCCUAUCUGCCGUGGGCGCUGGAGAACUGAGGGGGGCUGCUCCUAGUACGAGAGGACCGGAGUGGACGCAUCACUGGUGUUCGGGUUGUCAUGCCAAUGGCACUGCCCGGUAGCUAAAUGCGGAAGAGAUAAGUGCUGAAAGCAUCUAAGCACGAAACUUGCCCCGAGAUGAGUUCUCCCUGACUCCUUGAGAGUCCUGAAGGAACGUUGAAGACGACGACGUUGAUAGGCCGGGUGUGUAAGCGCAGCGAUGCGUUGAGCUAACCGGUACUAAUGAACCGUGAGGCUUAACCUU